rnacentral:lncRNA from 1 species
GGGGGGGGGCUAUGGGUUUUUUUGGAAAAAAAGUUUGUUUCCAGUUUUUGGAGAAAAAAAUAAUUUGUUUUUGAUUCUGAGAAAAAAAAAUUGUUUGUUUCACCCUCAGCUGCCACUAUAUGUAAUGCUAAAAUUGAAAGAAAAAAAUUGUUUUCGACUUGUCGCGAAAAAAAUUGAUUGUUUUUCGCCGCAGGCGAAAAAAAAAAUUUGUCCAGAAAAAAAAACCAUAGCCCCCCCCAGAAAAUCAAAUGGUUGCUGCCUAA